rnacentral:rRNA from 1 species
CCUACGGGGGGCAGCAGUGGGGAAUAUUGGACAAUGGGGGAAACCCUGAUCCAGCAACGCCGCGUGGGUGAUGAAGGUCUUCGGAUUGUAAAGCCCUUUUGGCAGGGACGAUGAUGACGGUACCUGCAGAAUAAGCUCCGGCUAACUUCGUGCCAGCAGCCGCGGUAAUACGAAGGGAGCAAGCGUUGUUCGGAAUUACUGGGCGUAAAGAGCGCGUAGGCGGUUUGAUAAGUUGGGCGUGAAAUCCCCGGGCUUAACCCGGGAACUGCGUUCAAAACUAUUAGACUAGAGUGUGGAAGAGGUUGGUGGAAUUCCCAGUGUAGAGGUGAAAUUCGUAGAUAUUGGGAAGAACACCGGUGGCGAAGGCGGCCAACUGGUCCAUAACUGACGCUGAGGCGCGAAAGCGUGGGGAGCAAACAGGAUUAGAUACCCCAGUAGUC